UACAGAGGGGGCGAGCGUUGUUCGGAAUUACUGGGCGUAAAGGGCGCGUAGGCGGCCUGCUAAGUCGGACGUGAAAUCCCCUGGCUCAACCAGGGAACUGCGUCCGAUACUGGCGGGCUUGAAUCCGGGAGAGGGAUGCGGAAUUCCAGGUGUAGCGGUGAAAUGCGUAGAUAUCUGGAGGAACACCGGUGGCGAAGGCGGCAUCCUGGACCGGCAUUGACGCUGAGGCGCGAAAGCCAGGGGAGCAAACGGG
rnacentral:rRNA from 1 species